rnacentral:rRNA from 1 species
UACGGAGGAUCCUAGUGUUAUCCGGAUUUAUUGGGUUUAAAGGGAGCGUAGGCGGGAGGUCAAGUCAGCUGUGAAAUGUAUCUGCUUAACGGGUACACUGCAGUUGAAACUGGUUUUCUUGAGUGCGUAAGAGGCAGGCGGAAUUCGUUGUGUAGCGGUGAAAUGCUUAGAUAUGACGAGGAACUCCUAUUGCGAAGGCAGCUUGCUGGGUCGUUACUGACGCUGAUGCUCGAAGGCGCGGGGAUCAAACAGGAUUAGAUA